CCUACGGGUGGCAGCAGUGGGGAAUAUUGGACAAUGGGCGAAAGCCUGAUCCAGCCAUGCCGCGUGUGUGAAGAAGGCCUUCGGGUUGUAAAGCACUUUCAGUGGGGAAGAAAGCCUUGGGGCUAAUACCCUCGAGGAAGGACAUCACCCACAGAAGAAGCACCGGCUAACUCCGUGCCAGCAGCCGCGGUAAUACGGAGGGUGCGAGCGUUAAUCGGAAUUACUGGGCGUAAAGCGCGCGUAGGCGGUCUGAUAAGCCGGUUGUGAAAGCCCCGGGCUCAACCUGGGAACGGCAUCCGGAACUGUCAGGCUAGAGUGCAGGAGAGGAAGGUAGAAUUCCCGGUGUAGCGGUGAAAUGCGUAGAGAUCGGGAGGAAUACCAGUGGCGAAGGCGGCCUUCUGGACUGACACUGACGCUGAGGUGCGAAAGCGUGGGUAGCAAACAGGAUUAGAUUCCCGGGUAGUC
rnacentral:rRNA from 1 species